rnacentral:lncRNA from 10 species
CAUGGAUGGGGCAUGGAAAUAGACCUGCCUACAUUGAGCCCAGUGCUGCUCUCUGUGCAAUGGAUCUUGAGAUGGUGUCUCAUCUGUAUGUUGCCCAGGCUGGUCUUGAACUCCUGGGCUCAAGUGAUCCUCCUGCCUCGGCCACCCAAAGUGCUGGGAUUAUAAGUGUGAGCCACCGAAGCUGGCCUAAAUCAGAAGACUCUGAAUAAAGAAGAUGACCCAUGAUAAUGCAGGUGGGUCUCUUCCAAUCACUGGAAAGCCAUGAGGGCAAAGCCUGAUGGUUCCUAAAGGGAAGGAAUUUUGCCUUCAGAUGACAAAACAGGAAUGCGGCCUGGGUUUUCAGCCUGUGGACUCAGGACCACAGCAUCAACCCUUGCCUGAGUUUCCUGUCUGCUGACCUGCCUUGCAGACUUCAGUUUUAACAACAGUAUGAGCCAAUCCGUUGAAAUACAGCUAAAAUAAAAUAAAAUAAAGCUGAAUAAAUUAUACACUUGUGUACACACACACACACAGACACACACACACACACAUGCCCACGCACACUCACCCUGUAGGUUCUGGCUCUCUGGAGACACCAGGCUCACAUGUCCUAACAUGGCUCUCCCCUGCCUAUCUCCAUCUGACUCAUCUAACUGCCCCC